rfam:Oryza nivara chromosome 7, whole genome shotgun sequence.
CCCCAGUCCAUGAAAAAAGGAUUUUCGUGUCCAAUUUUGACUGUCCGUCUUAUAUGAAAUUUUUUUAUAAUUCGUAUUUUCAUUGUUGUUAGAUGAUAAAACAUGAUUAAUAUUUUAUGCAUGACUUGUCUUUUUAAUUUUUUUUCAUAAUUUUUUUAAAUAAGACGGACGGUCAAACGUUAGACACAGAAACCACGGUUUGUCUUUUU